UACAGAGGUCUCAAGCGUUUGUUCGGAUUCAUUGGGCGUAAAGGGUGCGUAGGUGGCGCUGUAAGUCGGGUGUGAAAUUUCGGAGCUUAACUCCGAAACUGCAUUCGAUACUGCGGUGCUUGAGGACUGGAGAGGAGAUUGGAAUUCACGGUGUAGCAGUGAAAUGCGUAGAUAUCGUGAGGAAGACCAGUGGCGAAGGCGGAUCUCUGGACAGUUCCUGACGCUGAGGCACGAAGGCCAGGGGAGCAAACGGG
rnacentral:rRNA from 1 species